rnacentral:tRNA from 11 species
GCGGGAAUAGCUCAGUGGUAGAGCACAACCUUGCCAAGGUUGGGGUCGCGGGUUCGAAUCCCGUUUCCCGCUCCA